rnacentral:rRNA from 1 species
AGAGCGAACGCUGGCGGCAGGCCUAAAACAUGCAAGUCGAACGGACCCUUCGGGGUUAGUGGCGGACGGGUGAGUAACACGUGGGAACGUGCCUUUUGGUUCAGAACAACUCAGGGAAACUUGAGCUAAUACUGAAUAAGCCCUACGGGGGAAAGAUUUAUCGCCAUUAGAGCGGCCCGCGUUGGAUUAGCUAGUUGGUGAGGUAAAGGCUCACCAAGGCUACGAUCCAUAGCUGGUCUGAGAGGAUGAUCAGCCACACUGGGACUGAGACACGGCCCAGACUCCUACGGGAGGCAGCAGUUAGGAAUCUUGCGCAAUGGGCAAAGCCUGACGCAGCCAUGCCGCGUGAAUGAUGAAGGUCUUAGGAUUGUAAAAUUCUUCAGUGGGAAGAUAAUGACUGUACCCACAGAAGAAGCUACCGGCUAACUUCGUGCCAGCAGCCGC